rnacentral:rRNA from 1 species
CCUACGGGAGGCUGCAGUGAGGAAUAUUGGUCAAUGGACGAGAGUCUGAACCAGCCAAGUCGCGUGAAGGAUGACUGCCCUAUGGGUUGUAAACUUCUUUUAUAUGGGAAUAACAUGUUCCACGUGUGGGAUUUUGUAUGUACCAUAUGAAUAAGGAUCGGCUAACUCCGUGCCAGCAGCCGCGGUAAUACGGGGGAUCCGAGCGUUAUCCGGAUUUAUUGGGUUUAAAGGGAGCGUAGGUGGAUUGUUAAGUCAGUUGUGAAAGUUUGCGGCUCAACCGUAAAAUUGCAGUUGAAACUGGCAGUCUUGAGUACAGUAGAGGUGGGCGGAAUUCGUGGUGUAGCGGUGAAAUGCUUAGAUAUCACGAAGAACUCCGAUUGCGAAGGCAGUUCACUGGACUGCAACUGACACUGAGGCUCGAAAGUGUGGGUAUCAAACAGGAUUAGAUACCCUUGUAGUC